UACGUAGGGUGCGAGCGUUGUCCGGAAUUACUGGGUGUAAAGGGUGCGCAGGCGGACUUGUUAGUCAGAGGUGAAAUCUCACGGCUCAACCGUGAAACUGCCUUUGAUACUGCAGGUCUUGAAUUGGGGAGAGAGUUGUGGAAUUCCGAGUGUAGCAGUGAAAUGUGUAGAUAUUCGGAAGAACACCAGUGGCGAAGGCAGCAACUUGGCCCUAUAUUGACGCUCAGGCACGAAAGCAUGGGGAUCAAACAGG
rnacentral:rRNA from 1 species